rnacentral:rRNA from 1 species
UACGUAGGGGGCAAGCGUUGUCCGGAAUCAUUGGGCGUAAAGAGCGUGUAGGCGGCCAGAUAGGUCCGCUGUGAAAUCUCGAGGCUCAACUUCGAGCUGUCGGUGGAAACUGUCUGGCUAGAGUCCGGAAGAGGAGAAUGGAAUUCCUGGUGUAGCGGUGAAAUGCGCAGAUAUCAGGAAGAACACCCGUGGCGAAGGCGGUUCUCUGGGACGGUACUGACGCUGAGACGCGAAAGCGUGGGGAGCGAACAGG